rnacentral:rRNA from 1 species
AGCAGCCGCGGUAAUUCCAGCUCCAAUAGCGUAUAUUAAAGUUGUUGCAGUUAAAAAGCUCGUAGUUGAACUUCGGGGUCUACCCAUUGGUCAGGCUUAAUUGUCUGCACUGGUGAGAUGGAUCUCUACCUUCUGAGGAACUUUCAUGCCAUUUAUUUGGUGUGAUGGGAAAUCAGGACUGUUACUUUGAAAAAUUAGAGUGUUUAAAGCAGACUAUCGUCUGAAUACAUUAGCAUGGAAUAAUGAAAUAGGACGGACUGAUUCUAUUUCGUUGGUUUCUAGGAUCACCGUAAUGAUUAAUAGGGAUAGUUGGGGGCAUUAGUAUUCAAUUGUCAGAGGUGAAAUUCUUGGAUUUAUUGAAGACUAACUACUGCGAAAGCAUUUGCCAAGGAUGUUUUCAUUAAUCAAGACGAAAGUUAGGGGAUCGAAGACGAUCAGAUACCGUCGUAGUCUUAACCAUAAACUAUGCCGACUAGGGAUCGGACGAAGUUAAUUUUAUAAUGACGCGUUC